rnacentral:ncRNA from 1 species
GGAACGCCACUCCACUCUAUGGCGCUCUGUACAUUUUAAAAAGGAGGAAUAAAAAAUCCGCAGGCUCACGGUGCGGCAGUGUGGAGACCUGCCGUAAUACAUCACACUCUAUACGGGUGGAUGCGAGGCGGUUUUGGCGGAGGCCGGAUCGCCAGAGUCGAAAAUUAUGU